rnacentral:rRNA from 1 species
CCUACGGGUGGCUGCAGUGGGGAAUAUUGCACAAUGGGGGAAACCCUGAUGCAGCCACGCCGCGUGAGUGAAGAAGGAAUUCGUUAUGUAAAGCUCUAUCAGCAGGGAAGUAACAGACGGUACCUGAGCAUGAAGCUAUGGCUAACUACGUGCAAGAAGCCGCGGUAAUGCGUAGGCGGCCAGCGUUAUCCGGAUUUACUGGGUGUAAAGGGAGCGUAGACGGUGAAGAAAGUCAGAAGUGAAAGCCCGCGGCUUAACCGCUGAACUGCUGUGGAAACUUUUUUGCUGGAGUACCGGCGAGGUAAGCGGAAUGCCUGGUGUAGCGGUGAAAUGCGUAGAUAUUAGGAGGAACACCGGUGGCGAAGGCGGCUUACUGGACGAUAACUGACGUUGAGGCUCGAAAGCGUGGGGAGCAAACAGGAUUAGAUACCCCAGUAGUC